rnacentral:rRNA from 1 species
AGGGAUCAUUACCGAGUUUACAACUCCCAAACCCCUGUGAACAUACCAAUUGUUGCCUCGGCGGAUCAGCCCGCUCCCGGUAAAACGGGACGGCCCGCCAGAGGACCCCUAAACUCUGUUUCUAUAUGUAACUUCUGAGUAAAACCAUAAAUAAAUCAAAACUUUCAACAACGGAUCUCUUGGUUCUGGCAUCGAUGAAGAACGCAGCAAAAUGCGAUAAGUAAUGUGAAUUGCAGAAUUCAGUGAAUCAUCGAAUCUUUGAACGCACAUUGCGCCCGCCAGUAUUCUGGCGGGCAUGCCUGUUCGAGCGUCAUUUCAACCCUCAAGCCCAGCUUGGUGUUGGGACUCGCGAGUCAAAUCGCGUUCCCCAAAUUGAUUGGCGGUCACGUCGAGCUUCCAUAGCGUAGUAGUAAAACCCUCGUUACUGGUAAUCGUCGCGGCCACGCCGUUAAACCCCAACUUCUGAAUGUUGACCUCGGAUCAGGUAGGAAUACCCGCUGAACUUAAGCAUA